AAGGAAAACAUCAAUUGCUAAUCUAUAAAUAAUUAAUACAACAAUAUUUAUAUGGGAAUACAAAGACAUGAAAAAGUAUUGAGGAAGGAAACCAGUCCUAUGCAUGUGCACAUAACUGUGAUGGAAAGACAUGCAUGAUAUAUGUGACGAAAUUUAAGUUUUAUGAGUAGUUUUCACACUUCCCCCUUGUGCUCCAGUCAGAUUUUUGUCUGUGUUAUGAUUCAAUCUCCUCACACAAUUAUACAUUUUUAUUUUAUUUCUUUUGAGGUUACUUAAUAAUUGUUGUCCUGAACUAGAGGAGAAUCCUAAAAUUGGAGUCAGAACCACUUAAAAUCAUGCUCAAAAAAAAAAAAAAAACAUUGAAACAAUUUGUUUUCUCUAAUUCCAAUAGUUACAAUUAAUUGUCUAUACAUGUUUAUGUCCUUCAGUUGUCUUUUCCCUUUAAAAAAACAA